AUGUCGAGGCCGAGCAGGAGCGACGCGCACCUGUCCCCCGUGGACGAGGCGGUGAGGGUGGACGAGGUGCGGGGGUACUACGACGGCGCGGCGCCCAAGCGCCACUCCAAGCCCUCCCGCAGCGACCACUCCGCCGUGUACACCGACGCGCUCGCCGGCCCCGGCGCCGACGGCUCCCACCCCGAGCUCGACAAGUUCCAGGACCUGGAAGCCCACUCCGAGAAACUGGUGUGCGAGGGCGGGAAGGCGGGCGAGGAGUUCGUGGAGACGGAGUACUACAAGGACCUCGGCUGCGUCGGCAAGCAGCAUCACACGACUGGCACGGGCUUCAUCAAGGUGGACAGGCCGGCCGGCGCCUCGUUCGAGCUCUCCGAAGACCCGGAUGCGACGGAGCGCCAUGCUUCCUCCAAGGGAAACCCCGCCACAAACGAGUGGAUCCCGUCAGCGGACACGGUGUAUCAGGAGGAGUCAGACAAGCCCAACAGAAGCGACAGCUGA
rnacentral:rRNA from 1 species